AAAGUACUCCCUCCGUCCCAAAAUUCUUGUCUUAGAUUUGUCUAGAUACAGAUGUAUCAAGUCACAUUUUAGUAUUAGAUACAUCCAUAUCUAGACAAAUCUAAGACAAGAAAUUUGGGACAGAGGGAGUAGUUG
rfam:Triticum aestivum genome assembly, contig: Triticum_aestivum_CS42_TGACv1_scaffold_180638_2DS